UCGAGAAUCUUUCGCAAUGCCCGAAAGGGUGACGAAGCGACGCCGCGUGUGGGAAGAAGGCCUUCGGGUUGUAAACCACUGUCGGGAGUUAGGAAAUGCAGGUGCGUUAAUAGCGCACUUGCUUGACUAAGGCUCCAGAGGAAGCCACGGCUAACUCUGUGCCAGCAGCCGCGGUAAUACAGAGGCGGCAAGCGUUGUUCGGAAUUAUUGGGCGUAAAGAGCACGUAGGCGGCCUUGCAAGUCAGUUGUGAAAGCCUUCCGCUUAACGGAAGAACGGCAUCUGAUACUACAGGGCUUGAGUACGGGAGGGGAGAGUGGAACUUCUGGUGGAGCGGUGAAAUGCGUAGAUAUCAGAAGGAACGCCGGCGGCGAAAGCGACUCUCGUGGUCCGAAACUGACGCU
rnacentral:rRNA from 1 species